GAUGAACGCUGGCGGCGUGCCUAAUACAUGCAAGUCGAGCGAACGGACGAGAAGCUUGCUUCUCUGAUGUUAGCGGCGGACGGGUGAGUAACACGUGGAUAACCUACCUAUAAGACUGGGAUAACUUCGGGAAACCGGAGCUAAUACCGGAUGAUAUUUUGAACCGCAUGGUUCAAAAGUGAAAGACGGUCUUGCUGUCACUUAUAGAUGGAUCCGCGCUGCAUUAGCUAGUUGGUAAGGUAACGGCUUACCAAGGCAACGAUGCAUAGCCGACCUGAGAGGGUGGUCGGCCACACUGGAACUGGGACACGGUCCAGACUCCUACGGGAGGCAGCAGUAGGGAAUCUUCCGCAGUGGGCGAAAGCCUUGCGGAGCAACGCCGCGUGUGUGGUGGAGGUGUUCGGAUCGUAAAACUCUGUUAUUAGGGAAGAACAUAUGUGUACGGAACUGUGCACAGCUUGACGGUACCUAAUCAGAAAGCAACGGCUAACUACGUG
rnacentral:rRNA from 1 species